rnacentral:lncRNA from 1 species
GUAAGGCUACAUACUUUAUACUGUAUGAUUAGUAACGGUACUUGAAUUGCUCAACUGAUCUUCCUUGUUUAUCUUGUUUCAUCUGCUGGUGUCACAUCCCGGCCCGGGUUCACCACAUCCCGGGCCCAUUCCACCACUGUAGCACGAUAUUGUUCGCUUUGGGCUUACCAUUCCCUCACGGUUUUGUUUUUGGGAACUCACGAGCAACUUCCAGUGGGUCACCCAUCUUGGAAGUGCUCUGGCCUUCUUCUCGCUUAACUUCGGAGUUCCUACAGAACCCGAAGCCAGUGAGCUCCCAAAAGGCCUUGUGCUAGGUAGAGAUGGGAAUAUAAAUUUAAGGAUCACUCCCCUGGGCGAUGUGGGAUGUUACAAUCCACCGCCCUUAGGGGCCUGACGUCCUCGUCGGCACACUUCCGGCCAGGGAUUGGCUCUGAUACCAAUUUGACACGUCCCAACCCCGAUAUUCUUUGAAUACCCGGAUAGGCACGUGCUGGCCGACACCUGAGGGUGACGAAAGCCAUUUAUUGAUUACAAGAGUAAUGAUUAGGAGGAACAUAAGCAUGAAUAGUCAUUAGAAUCUAAGAGUAAUAAACAAAGUUUAAGGAAAUGUCUAGAGUGCACAGAACGCGGUCUAAUUCAAGAUUUACAAAAGGAAAGAUCAUCUCGCCGACUCGUUGCCUGAGCCUUCACUGGAAGACCUUGAGCCUCGACCUGGUCGUUUAAAGGAAACAGAAUGUCUGGGACCUACAGAACUGGAAGGGCCUACUGAUUCUCUGGUACUCCGUGACCGGAAAUUUCGACUCCUCUGAUUUUGAUUCCGCUGUCUAUUCUGUCUCUGGGGCUGGAUCCAAGUCUGAGGUUGAUCUCGCAUGUUCAUAUCCCACUUAGAUUGUUCUAUACUCAGACUUAUCUCGAUUACUUCCUCGUAAGUUCUGGGUCUUUGAGCAGCUACCAAUGUACGGUACUACUGGUUCAAUGCAAGCAUCGCCUGAUCCAUCUGUGCCUGUGGAUUAUCAUAAGUCCCAUCGUGAUGCCUAGCCAAGCGCCUGAAAGUAUUGUCAAAUUCUGUGAUGCUGAGGUCACCCUGUCGGAACUCUAAAUACUCCUGCCUCUUCCUUAAUUUGUAGCUGGAGCUUAGAAAGUAAGUAAUAAUACGUUUCCUGAAGGCAGCCCAAGUCAUCCAAGAACUAGGUGGACGAGAUUCCUUCGUUAAUUUCCACCAACUCCUAGCAUCACCCUGAAUAAAGAAACCUGCAGUGUUUGCCCACUCAUUUAACACACUUCAUAGUCUCUAAAGUAUCAUCCAUUUUCUCUAACCACUGCUCAGCCUUGUCAUAAUUCCCACAGAUUUCAACUCAGUAACUCCAUAACUUCUAACGAUUUCUAAAUACGUCCGAUUCGGGCUAUGACCCUGGAAGAGCAUUCAUUAGUGCAGUGGUAAAUUGCUGGAUUCCUCCCAUUAUAGAAGAACGAGAUUGUCGAGGCACAUUCCCACCAGGAUUAGCCAUGAUUCUGACAAAAACAACAAAAUUUAGAAAGACUGAAAUUUACCAAAUUGGUAGAAAGAAACCCUAACCAUGCUCUGAUACCAAUUGUCACAUCCCGACCCGGGUCCACCACAUCCCGGGCCUGUUCCACCACCGUAGCACAAUAGUCUGCUUUGGGUUUACCAUUCCCUCACGGUGUUUUUGGGAACUCACGAGCAACUUCCCAGUGGGUCACCCAUCCUGGAUGUGCUCUGGCCUCCUUCUCGCUCAACUUCGGAGUUCCUACGGAACCCGAAGCCAGUGAGCUCCCAAAAGGCCUCGUGCUAGGUAGAGAUGAGAAUAUACAUUUAAGGAUCACUCCUCUGGGCGAUGUGGGAAUAUACAUUUAAGGAACCAUGCAGUCGAAGAAGCUACUUGGGAAACAGGAAUCAAUGAGGAACCUGUAUCCCUUUCUUUUCGUGUAAAUUCGCAAUUUUGAGGACGAAAUUUCUUUUAAGGGGGAUAGAUUGUAACAUCCCACAUCGUCCAGGGGAGUGAUCCUUAAAUGUAUAUUUCCAUCUCUACCUAGCACGAGGCCUUUUGGGAGCUCAUUGGCUUCGAGUUUCGUAGGAACUCCGAAGUUAAGCGAGAAGGAGGCCAGAGCACUUCCAGGAUGGGUGAUCCAUUAGGAAGUUGCUUGUGAGUUCCCAAAAACAAAACCGUAAGGGAAUGGUAAGCCCAAAGCGGACAAUAUCGUGCUACGGUGGUGGACCCGGGCCGAGAUAUGUCAGAUUGGUAUCAGAGCAUGGUUAGGGUUUCUUUCCACCAAUUUGGUAAAUUUCAGUCUUUCUAAAUCUUGUUGUCUUUGUCAGAAUCAUGGUGGGAAUGUGCCUCAACGACGUUGUUCUUCUAUAAUGGGGGGAAUCCAGCAGUUUACCACUGCACUAAUGAAUGUUCUUCCAGGUCAUAGGCCGAAUCGGACGUAUUUAGAAAUCGCUAGAAGUCAUGGAGUUACUGAGUUGAAAUUUGUGGGAAAUUGUGAGGAGGCUGAGCAGUGGUUAGAGAAAAUGGAUGAUACUUUAGAGGCUAUGAAGUGUCUGUUAAAUGAGUGGGCAAACACUGCAGGUUUCUUUAUUCAUGGUGAUGCUAGGAGUUGGUGGAAAUCAACGAAGGAAUCUCGUCCACCUGGUUCUUGGAUGACUUAGGCUGCCUUCAGGAAACGUUUUAUUACUUACUUUCUAAGCCCCAACUACAUAUUAAGGAAGAGUGUUUAGAGUUCCUACAGGGUGACCUCAGCAUCACAAAAUUUGACAGUACUUUCAGGCGCUUGGCUAGGUAUCAUGAUGGGACUUAUGAUAAUCCGCAGGCACAGAUGGAUCAGGCAAUGCUUGCACUGAACCAGGAGUACCGUACAUUGGUAGCUGCUCAAAGACCCAAAACUUAUGAGGAAGUAAUCGAGAUAAGUCUGAGUAUAGAACAAUCUAAGUGGGAUACGGACAUGCGAGAUCAACCUCAGACUUGGAUCCAGCCCCAGAGACAGAAUAGGCAGCGGAAUCAAAAUCAGAAGAGUCGGAAUUUCCGGUCGUGGAGUACCAGAGAAUCAAUAGGCCCCUCCAGUUUUGUAGGUCCUAGACAUUCUUUUUCCUUUAAACAACCAGGUCGGGUCUUCUAGUGAAGGCUCAAGCAACGAGUCGGCGAGAUGAUCUUUCCUUUUGUAAAUCUUGAAUUAGAUCGUGUUUUGUGCACUCUAGACAUUUCCUUAAGCUUUGUUUAUUACUCUUAGAUUUUAAUGACUAUUCAUGCUUAUGUUCCUCCUAAUCAUUAGUCUUGUAAUCAAUAAAUCGCUUUCGUCACCCUCAGGUGUCGACCAGCACGUGCCUAUCCGGGUAUUCAGAGAAUAUCGGGGUCGGGACGUGUCAGCUGGAAAAAUGAAAUUCCUUCACCCCCAUUCUGAUUUUUGAGAUGCAUUAUACAUAUAAGUUUUCUGGCAUAAAAAAUAGUACAACUGGC